GGAAAUAUAGGGAGAAGGGUCUUUCAUUGCGGAGAGAGUACUUCAGAUCAGCUAGUAUUACAUCACUUUCUUAUAUUAAGUUCCUUCCAUAUUACUUACGUAGAAUAUCUUUUACAGCAUCUUUCAAGGCAGCAAGUGCAUUUUGUCCGUGUUGUAAUAAGGCUGCUCCGGAUGUUUUCAAAGCGUCAACAUGAGGUUGGACGGCUGGGCCGACAUCUGUUCCUGUUUGUUUAACAACGUUUCCGAGACCAUUGACAAGCUGAAAUGGAAGGAAUAUUCAGAUAAUUGUAUUCGAAAAAUUAAACUGCAGGUUGAUUUGAAUUAGAUUGAACUACCCUCUCAUG
rnacentral:lncRNA from 1 species